rnacentral:lncRNA from 1 species
CUCUCUCUUAGCAUGCUGCCUGCCAAUCUGGAUGUAGAAUUCUCAGCUACCUCUCCAGCACCAUAUCUGCCUGCAUACAGUCAUACUUCUUGCUAUAAAGCUUUGCAGAGAGGUCUGUGCCUCAGGGAGGCUCCUGGCUGAGUUCAGCACACGCUGGGCUGAGCCCACACAGCUCAGUGAAUCACCUCAGCACAGGAAGUGUCUUAAUGGAAUGCUCCUGAGAGAGACACGGAGUACAUUGGUUGGAGGAGGAAGUGUGUGAACCUGAGGGAGAAAGGCAUGCGUAUUUCAAUGAGGUCGACAGCUAAAAUCCGCAGCCUCCAUUCUGAGCACCGAUAGCUGGAUCUUCCGAUGUCAGCAUAGACGUGGCAGAUGAAAUCCUGUCUGCAUUUUUGCUGCCCAGGAAGAGCAACAGGCACUUAAAUCACUUUAGUGGCUGCUCUUUGCUGAGAAGCUUAUUUUCUCCACAAAUAAAGAGCUGAAAAGUCCCUUCUGCUCUGGAGCAGAUCGGGCCAAGGAAGAACAGACGGGAAGACCUAGAAUUAAAUCCAUAUUCAGGAAGGAAAGCGCUGUUCUCAGCAGAAAUCCCAACAGUAGCCACUGUUAAUUAACGAAGACAACAGUCAGCAUAGGCGUCUUGAGCCUCAGCCAGUCACAGACAGCCUCGCUCCAGUAACUACGCUCCAGAGCCAGAGUCAAAAAAGACAGCCAAUCAGGGAAGACAGCCGGCAGAGUAUUAUUCUCUAACACUGGUGGCUGGCCUCGAACUCACUGUCUACAUGUUGGCUAGCCUUGAAGUCACAGUGACACUGCUUCCCAAGUAUACCACCAGCUUGGUGCAAACCUUUUCUUCCCCUUUCUGUUGGGAGCUGUGUGACCUUGUUUUGGACCAGUACAUGAGAGCUUGUCCAGUGGAUCUUCAGAUGAGGCAAAAGACCACAAGGGUAGUCUCACUUGGCAAGGACCAGUGGACUUUGGGACAGCGUAGAAUACUGCUGGGACUGUGUGGCCUGCAUGCUCUCGUCUCUUCUCUUGUGUAAUAUUGAUGAUUGUCUUGGUGUUUUUACUGUCAUUUUGUCAAUCAUGCAUAGGACAGAUGUGAUCAUUCUUGGAAACACCACUUUUCCUCAAAUAUUUUCCCCUAAAAUUCUUGGGAGCUGAUGCUUUUCAGGUCUCUUGUCUGGGGUUGCCAGCUUUCACUCCAGACCUUAGGAGCUGUUCUGAUUCAGUGCUGACAGGAUCGGAGGCAGAUUACCCCUAUUUCUCUAAAUAUGCUUUGAACAGGAUUGUUGAUCUUGAAAAUGUGCGCUUAUGUCAAUCACCUUUUAGUUUUGUAAAGACAGAAUGUACCUGGCUCGAUAUUUGACCAAGCCAGCAAAAUGAUAAGUGUUGUUUUGGAUUAAAGAUGUUUUGAUGUAGAAGUUGAGAAAAAACAUUUGACAUAUUUGGUUUUGCUGGAGGCUAAUGUUUGAGGAUGGCAAAAACUUGUUAGCAUGAAAAAAUAUGCUUGUUUUUGAUGUGUAAAUAAAGAUGGCUUGGGGC